GGCUUUUUGAGUAUAAUUUAAGGUCGGGCCUGCCCAAUGAUUAAUUAAAUGGCCGCGGUAUAUUGACCGUGCAAAGGUAGCAUAAUCAUUAGUUUUUUAAUUGAAAGCUUGUAUGAAGGGUUUAAUGAAAAAAAUACUGUCUCUAUUUAAAUUUAUUAAAAUUUUAUAUUUAAGUUAAAAAGCUUAAAUUUGUAUUGAAGACGAGAAGACCCUGUAGAGUUUAAUAUUUUAUAUGAAAAUAAAGUAUUAAGGAUUUUAAAUAAUUUUUAUAUAAAGUAUUUAAUUGGGGUGAUUGAAAAAUUAGUUUAACUUUUUUUGUAUUUUUAUAUUGAUUAAUAAAUUUGAGAUCCUUUUUUUAAGAUUAAAAGAUAAAAUUACCUUAGGGAUAACAGCGUAAUUUUUUUUAGAGUUCUUAUCGAAAGAAAAGAUUGCGACCUCGAUGUUGGAUUAAAAUUAAUCAUUGGUGUAGAAGCUAAUGAAUUAGGUCUGUUCGACCUUUAAAUUUUUACAUGAUCUGAGUUUAAACCGGUGUAAG
rnacentral:rRNA from 1 species